rnacentral:rRNA from 1 species
CAAUAGCGUAUAUUAACGUUGUUGCAGUUAAAAAGCUCGUAGUUGGAUUUCUGGAGGGAGCGUCGGCCCGUAUUUACGAGUGCGUGACGUCUCUGUCCAUCCUUGCGGGAAGGCACGGCAUUGAUUUGUUGUGUCGGAUCGCAUCAUUUACUGUGAAAAAAUUAGAGUGUUCAAAGCAGGCUUUCGCUUGAAUACAUUAGCAUGGAAUAAUAAGAUCGGACUUUGGUGCUAUUUUGUUGGUUGAGCCUAAAGUAAUGAUUAAUAGGGAUAGUUGGGGGCACCUGUAUUGCGUUGUCAGAGGUGAAAUUCUUGGAUUUACGCAAGACAAACAGCUGCGAAAGCGUCUGCCAAGGAUGUUUUCAUUAA